AGUGGGGAAUCUUGGACAAUGGGGGCAACCCUGAUCCAGCCAUGCCGCGUGAGUGAUGAAGGCCUUAGGGUCGUAAAGCUCUUUCGCCUGUGAAGAUAAUGACGGUAGCAGGUAAAGAAACCCCGGCUAACUCCGUGCCAGCAGCCGCGGUAAUACGGAGGGGGUUAGCGUUGUUCGGAAUUACUGGGCGUAAAGCGCACGUAGGCGGACCAGAAAGUUGGGGGUGAAAUCCCGGGGCUCAACCCCGGAACUGCCUCCAAAACUAUUGGUCUAGAGUUCGAGAGAGGUGAGUGGAAUUCCAAGUGUAGAGGUGAAAUUCGUAGAUAUUUGGAGGAACACCAGUGGCGAAGGCGGCUCACUGGCUCGAUACUGACGCUGAGGUGCGAAAGUGUGGGGAGCAAA
rnacentral:rRNA from 1 species